rnacentral:rRNA from 1 species
AUGUGGAUGACAUCAUUGUGGAUAGCUCCUCUUCUGUUUCCACCACCUAGCUGCUUGCUGACCUUCAGGCCUCCUUUGCUCUUAAAGAUCUUGGCCUGUUACAUUACUUUCUUGGCGUACAUGUGCAGUCCUCGCCAGGGGGGAUUAUUCAGUCCCAACAGAAGUAUAUUCGUGAUAUGCUUCUUCGUGCCAACAUGGAAAACUGCAAAAUAUCCACUACACCUAUGUCUUCAGGUGAGAAACUUGACAAGGGCAGCGGAUCACCUCUCUCUCUUUGGAAGACAGCACCAAAUACCGUAG